UAUAUUUGCCGCCUUAUAUAAACAUACAUAAUAAUUAUUUAAAUAAUAUUAGCAUG
rnacentral:ncRNA from 1 species